UACGAAGGGGGCUAGCGUUGUUCGGAGUUACUGGGCGUAAAGGGCGCGUAGGCGGCGCAUCAAGUCAGGCGUGAAAAGCCCUGGGCUCAACCCGGGAAUUGCGCUUGAGACUGGUGUGCUUGAGUACGGGAGAGGAUAGUGGAAUUCCCAGUGUAGAGGUGAAAUUCGUAGAUAUUGGGAAGAACACCAGUGGCGAAGGCGGCUAUCUGGACCGUAACUGACGCUGAGGCGGCGAAAAGCGUGGGGAGCAAACAGGG
rnacentral:rRNA from 1 species